rnacentral:rRNA from 1 species
CACGGAGUUAGCCGGUGCUUAUUCAUCUGGUACCGUCAGUUACCCCCGCAGGGGCGUUUUCUUCCCAGAUAAAAGCAGUUUACAACCCAGAAGGCCUUCUUCCUGCACGCGGCAUGGCUGGGUCAGCCUCUCGGCCAUUGCCCAAUAUUCCCUA